rnacentral:rRNA from 1 species
GGUGACUAUAAGUUUAACGGCCGCAGUAUUUUAACCGCGCGAAGGUAGCGUAAUCACCUGUUUUUUAAAUGAAGACCUGUAUGAAUGGCCCAACGAGGGCUUAACUGUCUCCCUCCUCCAGUCAAUGAAAUUGACCUCCCCGUGCAGAGGCGGGGAUAUUAACAUAAGACGAGAAGACCCUGUGGAGCUUUAGACCUAAAAUAAAUCAUGUUUAAUAUUCUGCUGUACCAGUAAAAACUCAACGAUAAUUAUUGAAGUGUCUUCGGUUGGGGCGACCCUGGGGAAAAACACAACCCCCAUGUGGACUGGGAAUACUAUUCCUAACACUCAGAGUCCCUACUCCAAGUAACAGAAAUUCUGACCUUUAUGAUCCGGUAAUACCGAUCAACGAAUCAAGUUACCCCAGGGAUAACAGCGCAAUCCCCUCUAAGAGCCCUUAUCGACGAGGGGGUUUACGACCUCGAUGUUGGAUCAGGACAUCCUAUUGGUGUAACCGCUAUUAAGGGUUCGUUUGUUCAACG